rnacentral:misc_RNA from 1 species
ACCACCUUUUGCAGACAUUGAACCUCCAGUUACACACCCUGCAACAACUGUAUUUGUAACAUCAUGUUUUGCCCGCGCCUUUUCAACAAUGCACUCCGAAGCUGAGAAAAUCAAACCCAUCACUGCAAAUGCCUUACAAGAACUCCAACUUCUUCGCCCCAUUUGCUUUGCAGUAUAAAUGAACUGCUCCCUUGCAGUCAUCUCUUCUUGCAUUAAUGGAUUAUCCAACGCACCUAGAAACAGACCCAUGAACAACCCUAGCCCACCUCCCAUCACUCC